GAUUUAACCAGAAAUAAAAAAAAUUCGUUUUGAGGUUAUAAACACAGUCAAUUCAACAAUUAAUUUUGUUUUGUUUAUAAUUAAACAUUCAAUUGUAUUUGUUUACAAAUUCUAUGUAUAUACUAAUUAAUACUCAUUGUUAAUAUGAAUCACUGCGAUUAUGCACAGUUUACAAACAACGAAAUCUACAUAGUAAGAAACAAAAAAAACGAAAAA